rnacentral:tRNA from 1 species
GGGGGGAUGUCCGAGUGGUUAAAGGAGUUGGGCUGUAAACCCAAUGGCUCUGCCUACGCAGGUUCGAAUCCUGCUCCCCCCA